rnacentral:rRNA from 1 species
ACGGAAGGCAGCAGUGGGGGAUAUUGCGCAAUGGGGGCAACCCUGACGCAGCAACGCCGCGUGAUGGAAGAAGGUCUUCGGAUUGUAAACAUCUGUUGCAAGGGAAGAAAAAAAUGACGGUACCUUGUGAGGAAGCCACGGCUAACUACGUGCCAGCAGCCGCGGUAAUACGUAGGUGGCGAGCGUUGUCCGGAUUUACUGGGUGUAAAGGGCGCGUAGGCGGGACAGCAAGUCAGUCGUGAAAUACCGAGGCUUAACUUCGGGGCUGCGAUUGAGACUGUUGUUCUUGAGUGUCGGAGAGGAAAGCGGAAUUCCUAGUGUAGCGGUGAAAUGCGUAGAUAUUAGGAGGAACACCGGUGGCGAAGGCGGCUUUCUGGACAGUAACUGACGCUGAGGCGCGAAAGCGUGGGGAGCAAACAGGAUUAGAUACCCUGGUA